rnacentral:rRNA from 1 species
AUGUCGUUGCCGGCCGCGAUGGCGGCGGCGGCCCGGGAGCACGUGGAGAGGAUCCGGCGCGACCGCUACUACAUUGGCCGCGGCGAGCAGAACCCGCUAGCCGAGGACAUGCACCAGGCCGUCAACUACCUCAGCCAGGAGCUCUACUCCAGGGACGUCCACUUCCUCAUGGAGCUCGUCCAGAAUGCUGAAGAUAAUGAGUACCCUAGCGGAGUAGCGCCAUCUUUGGAGUUUCUAGUUACAUCCAAUGAUGUUACUGGAUCUGGUGCAUCAUCUACUUUGCUCAUCUUCAACAAUGAGAAAGGCUUCUCUCCAUCCAAUGUUGAAUCCAUUUGUCGUGUUGGAAAGUCAACUAAAAAAGGAAACAGGGACAAGGGAUACAUCGGAGAGAAAGGUAUCGGGUUCAAGAGCGUUUUCCUGAUAUCGAGCCAGCCCCAUAUAUUCAGUAAUGGCUACCAGAUCAAGUUCAAUGAGAAGCCUUGUUCGGAGUGUAACAUUGGAUACAUUGUCCCUGAGUGGGUUGAGUCAAAACAGAUCCUUUCAGACAUAAAAAAGAUAUAUGGGCGAUCCAAGGUCCUCCCAACAACCACUAUCAUCUUGCCUCUGAAGGACAAGAAGGUUAGUGUCGUAAAGCAGCAAUUGUCGAGCUUGCAUCCAGAAAUGCUACUGUUUCUGUCAAAGAUUAGGCGGCUCUCUGUACAGGAAGCCAACUCCAAUCCAAAAGGCAGCACAGUCAGUGAGAUUGCAAUAUCUAGUGAAAAGAACUACCAAGCGAGGAAGAACAUGCACGCAGAGUCUUACACGGUCCAUUUAUCAGCUCAAGAGAAUGGGAAAGAAGAAGAGUGUGGCUACUAUAUGUGGAGGCAGAGUUUCCCAGUAAAACCAGAGAACAGAGUGGACAAACGUGCGGAGAUCGACGAGUGGGUCAUCACCCUGGCCUUCCCGCACGGCGAGCGUCUAUCCCGUGGGAAGCAGAUAUCACCUGGGGUCUAUGCUUUCCUUCCCACUGAGAUGGUGACGAACUUCCCAUUCAUCAUUCAGGCCGACUUCCUCCUUGCAUCUUCAAGAGAGGCUAUACUGUUUGACAGUCCCUGGAACAAGGGGAUUUUGGAGUGUGUCCCAAGUGCUUUCUUGAAUGCUUUUGUCGCGCUUGUGAAAUCUAGCGCUGACGCACCAGCAAUGUCCUUACCGUCUAUGUUUCAUUUCCUGCCGGCCAAUCCUUCACCAAUCCCAGUACUUGAGCCGGUUAGAUCUGGCAUCAAAAACAAGAUUCUUGUCGAGGAUAUAGUGCCAUGCGAGUCUCAUAGUUCGCAGAAAAUAUUUUGCAAGCCAGGUGAGGUUGGACGACUGAAACCAGCCUUUUGGAGUAUUCUCAGCAAGGCAAGGGAAUCUGGAGUUGACCUAAAGAAUCUUUCAACCCAUGGAAGCUACAUUCUGAGCUCUCAUUUCGAUAAGUCCACGUAUAAUACCGUGCUAUCAUUUCUUGGUGUUAAAAGUGUGAGCAAUGAGUGGUACGCCAAAUGCAUUGAGGGCUCGAAUCUUGUCAAGGAGGUAAAUGAACAGAUUUAUCUGGAAGUUUUAUCCUUUGUCGCCGACAAUUGGCAGAACUGUUUCUCCGGUACAAACAUGAUGUCUAUUCCCCUGCUAAAGUAUGUUGAUCGGAACAAUGCUCUCUCUUUCCGGAGCGUUUCUAGAGCUACUCAAUUGAGUGACAGAUUGUGCAUUGCAUCUGAGAAGAAGUGCAUACCUUGGCUUAUCAGCUGGAACCGGGAGUUCCCUUCUUCUAACCGCGUUUUUGUACCUCCCAGCACACAGGAAGCUCUACAAAAUUUCGCACAGAGAACAGCAGUGACACAGUGGCUUCAGAGCUAUGCAAAGGUGGAGGCUGUGUCUGUCUACAGUUAUGGACUAGCGGUUCUUAAUUCCUUGAAUUAUGAUAGCAAGCCUGUUAUUGCUUUUGCCCAUUUUCUGUACCACUCGUCUCAGAAGGGUCACAUCGAGAGCUACCACUUGGCAGAACUGUGCCGUGCCAUGCCGGUAAUCGACAGCUAUGGCAGUGUGGUCAAGACAAGAAGCAGCCUUCUAGUUCCUGCGAAGGGCAGUAAAUGGGUAGGAUUGAUGGGCACGAACCCAUGGAGGAACCAGAACUACAUUGAACUAUCAGCAGACUACAAGUCGUCAGGCAGUUACGCUGGGAUCUAUGCACCUGAAGACCAGCUCUUGGCUUUCCUAAAGACACAACUGCAGGCUUCAGACAUUCCGUUCAUACACCCUCCAGAUGCAAGCUUUCCUACAGUCUCAUCGCCUCUGACUGUUGACAAUGCAAUCUUGCUUUUGCAAUGGAUACAGAAUCUCAAGUCAAGAAGAGUACAUUUACCGGCUAGAUUUCUGGCUUGUGUAAAACAGGGAAGUUGGCUGAGGACAUCAGUUGGAUACAAGCCACCAAAUGAAUCAUUUCUGUCCAGUUCUGAGUGGGGAGUUCUUCUGCAAAAUGGAUCUUCCUUUGUUGACAUACCAAUGAUUAACCAAAUUUUUUAUCAGAACAAGCUGCAUAUGUACAAGGAUGAACUCAAGGCGAUCGGAGUUCGAUUCGAAUUUCAGGAGGCGUCAGCGUACAUCGGCAGCCGCCUCAUGUCCAUGGCCGCAAGCAAUACACUGACCAGAGAGAAUGUGUACUCACUGCUUCGGCUGAUUCGCUUUCUUCGAGAGAAAGUUCUGUCUCCAAGCGAACUCAUCAACAGUGUCAAAGAUGGACAGUGGAUGAAGAGUACUAUCGGCUACAGGUCUCCGGUUGGGUGUAUCAUCUAUGAUUCAGACUGGGCAGUUGCAUCCUGCAUCAGCAGCCAGCCGUUCCUUGAUGUCAGGUUCUAUGGCGAGGACAUCCUUACCUACAAACCAGAGCUCAAAUUGCUCGGUGUUCUUGUUGGAUUUGAGGACAGCUACAAACUUGUGAUUGAUAAUUUCAAGUUCAGUUCAGCUGCUGUUACUCCUGAGGCUACUGUACUAAUCCUCAAAUGUAUCCGGCAUGUGAGCUCAUGUGACGCCUUCAUAAGAAAACUCAAAGAUUUGAAAUGGGUUAAGACCAAUGUGGGGUUCCGUGCUCCUAAUGAAUCUUUUCUUGUGGAUCCUCGAUGGGAGUGCCUUCUAAAGGUCUUUGAUGGGGUUCCUGUAGUUGAUUUCAGAUUUUAUGGGAGUAAGAUUAGUCCCUACAAAGAAGAGUUAGAAAAGACUGGCUUGAUAACAAGAUUGGAGGCGGCAUCGAAGGCUAUAGCUAACUUGUUCAACCAGAUGGUUCUGAAUUCAUCACUUCAAAAGGCGAGUGUCCUAGCUCUGCUAGCAUGUUAUCGGCAGCUGAAAACACAGGGCGCACUUCCCGUCGAGCUCUUGAGUUGCAUGCUGAAUGAGAAGUGGUUGUGCACAUCGUUGGGUUUCAGAUCCCCCAAAGAUGCAAUCUUAUUUAAUGCAGAAUGGCAGUCUCUAUCGUCAGUAGCAAACUUACCUUUCAUAGAUGACAGUGUCUCUAACCACGGUUUAAGCAAAGAAAUACAUGGUUAUAAAGAUGAGCUCAAGAAUUUAGGUGUUACUACUGAAGUGAAAGCUGGUGCUAGGUUUGUUAUCAAUGGCAUCAACAUUCCCAAGGAUCCUUUGCACAUGUCUGCAGCUACUGUCUUGUCAUUGCUCAUGUCCAUUCAGAGCUGGUUGGCUUCUUCAAGUAACUUCCCAAAGGGCUUUCUAGAGAAAAUCAAAGGCUGCAGUUGGUUGAGGACAAAAGUGGGGUUCCGAUGUCCCGAUGAGUCGAUCCUGUUUGAUCCAAAGAAUUCUUCAAUUCGCAUAGAAGAUGGCCCUUUCAUUGAUGAAGCAUUCUAUGGCUCGGAGAUAGCCUCAUUCAGAGAUGCCCUUGCGGCAAUCGGAGUAUCUGUGGAUGUUAGACACGGACAUGAGCUUGUUGCUCGGCAUCUGAAAAGCCACAAAAACAAGGCUACUAUUUCUCGUAUUUACACAUACCUUCAGGAGUGCAAUUGGGAGCCUGCAAACAAGACGAGUAAUUGGAUCUGGAUACCAAAUAAAAAGAAAAGUGGAGAGUGGGUGAGUCCUCUGGGUUGUGUUCUUCAUGAUAAGGACAACCUUUUCAGCCUGCAGCUGCAUGUCUUGGACAAAUAUUAUGACAAGAAGUUGCUGGACUUCUUUUCACAUGUUUUUGGUGUGAGGAAUGGUCCUAGCGCUGAAGAUCAUUGCAAACUAUGGAGCACAUGGGAGAGCUCUGUCGAUGCGCUACCUGUAGCUGACUGCUCUGCUUUCUGGCAGUUCAUUGCCAAGAACUGGAGCAAAAGCACGGAGAAGCUUCUUUCUGCUUGUGUCAAGGUUCCAGUUUGUACCGACGGAACCAUCCUUCUGUCAAAGAAAGUGGAUGUGUUUAUUCCUGAUGAUCUACUUCUCAAGGAUUUGUUCGACAAGCUUCCUAACCGGUCAUUGUUCAUCUGGUAUCCAUCUUCAAGCCUGCCUUCCAUGUCUCGAGCAAAGCUGAACAACAUCUACGGUAGCAUUGGAGUUCAGGCAAUAUCCAAAGCUGUUGGGAAGAAUGAUUCACUCACAUUGGAAAAUGUCAGUCCAACAAAAGCUGCUCGGGGUAAGGUGAUCAAUGUUGGUAUGAUCAAACUGGUCCUUGCUUUUCUUGCCGAUCCUGCUCUCGACAUUUCUGCUGAAGAGCGGCACAAGAUUGUUUCCUGCCUGCUCAAUGUGACGGUGCUAGAGACCAGCGAGCCGAUCACGGUGGGAUACAAGGUGAAGCUGUCCACUGGGGCCGUUUUGGAUGUGAAGGCCACACGGAAGCUCCGGUGGGAGAGGGAGAGCUCGAAACUGUACAUGCAGAAAAGCAAGCGUGCACCAGGCUACAAGGAGAAGUUGGAGUUUGCGACGAACUUUGCGGAUGAGGUAUCCCAGGGGCUGCUCUUCGAGAAGGCGGAGCAGAUCCCUUUGCUCGCGGAGCUCAUUAAAAUUGGUAGCUUGAUGGACUUCCACGCUGCCGCUGUCGAGUACCUUCUGAAAUCAAAAAAUCUGCAGCUCUUCCCUGAAGACGAAGAAUUCCUUAACACUGCAUCGCUAGGUCGUAGCAGGAACCGUUAG